UUUUGUAGUUGUAAUAGUAUCGGUUGUUGGCAUAUAUAUGGG
rnacentral:antisense_RNA from 1 species